CAGUAGCCACGGUAAUACGGAGGGUGCAAACGUUGCUCGGAGUUAUUGGGCGUAAAGCGCACGUAGGCGGCCGAAUAAGUCGGGUGUGAAAGCCCAGGGCUUAACCCUGGAAGUGCACUCGAAACUGCUCGGCUUGAAUAUGGAAGAGGGUCGCGGAAUUCCCGGUGUAGAGGUGAAAUUCGUAGAUAUCGGGAGGAACACCAGUGGCGAAGGCGGCGACCUGGGCCAAUAUUGACGCUGAGAUGCGAAAGCUAGGGGAGCAAACAGGAUUAGAUACCCCUGUAGUCCCUGUCUCUUAUAC
rnacentral:rRNA from 1 species